AAACACGGUCCGUUGGUGAACCAGCGGAGGGAUCAUUAAAGAGUUAAACAACUCCUAAACCCAUGUGAACCUACCUUUGUUGCCUCGGCAGGUCUGCAACUUACCCUGAGGGGACCUACCCUGUAGGGACCUUACCCGGUAGUUGCGGGCAUAACCUGCCGGUGGUCUACUAAACUCUGUUUACUAUGUUAUUCUGAAUAGUAUAACUAAAUAAGUUAAAACUUUCAACAACGGAUCUCUUGGUUCUGGCAUCGAUGAAGAACGCAGCGAAAUGCGAUAAGUAAUGUGAAUUGCAGAAUUCAGUGAAUCAUCGAAUCUUUGAACGCACAUUGCGCCCAUUAGUAUUCUAGUGGGCAUACCUGUUCGAGCGUCAUUUCAACCCUUAAGCCCUGUUGCUUAGCGUUGGGAGCCUACAGAUACCCUCUGUAGUUCCUUAAAGUUAGUGGCGGAGUCGGUUUCACACUCUAGACGUAGUAAAUUUUAUCUCGCCUAUAGAUGAGCCGGUCCCUUGCCGUAAAACCCCCUAAUUUCUAAAGGUUGACCUCGGAUCAGGUAGGAAUACCCGCUGAACUUAAGCAUAUCAUAA
rnacentral:rRNA from 1 species